GGGGCUGACUGGUUUUGACAGCAAGAUGGAGGAAUGUGUAAGCAUGUCGAGCCACGGAGGGUACGCUCGUUAAAAAGGCGCUUCAGCUUUUAACUGGCAACAAUAAUUACGCGCUUGCCGCUUAAUCGAUUCGAUAGAACGAUUUAGCUAAUCCACGUACAAGGUACGGGAGCGAGCCAUCUCUCAGAACCCAUGUCUGACGGGGUCUGAUUCAGAGGUGCAGAAAGGUUGGACUAGUUACGUCGAUGAUUCUACAGCGUAGCGAAACUUUUGAAUCUAAGCGUGAUGGUCGGGUGUUCAUUCCCAGCCCCAUGUCGAAAACCGAAUAAUGGAAUAAGCAUGUAGAAAGCCCAUUGUUCCCUUGUUUGCACAGGGGUUCGACUCCCCUCAGCUCCACAA
rnacentral:tmRNA from 1 species